GCCACAACAUUUCAAUCUCGCUUUUUAACCCACCAAAAUUCAGGGAUCUGGGGGUUUGCCUCAUCCCAUUAUAGACUAUAGAAGAAAGGGGUCGGCUUUGCAAUCAGGAUCUGAGUUUGGAUUCUGAGUUCACUUCAGAGCUGUUCAGGUCCAAAGUCUACGCUCUGGCCCAUGUUUAGUAGAUUCACACUUCUCCUGAAAAGUCAGCCCCGGUGACUAGCUUUGUGGUGGCCACAGUCCGCAGCCCACGCACUGGUUUGCAGAGAGAGACCCUGCUUCAGCACGGCAUGACCAUAGAUUUACACGUGAAAUCGAAGGAGUUACCCUGGUGCAGCACUGGAGACAGCAGCGAUGAACGGGGCCAACGCAGUGAUCUGUCUAUGGGCUAAAAGCUGCAGAUGGAUGGAAUUUAAAUUCCCAUUUUGUGGCACAGCGGCUCGUAGCCUUUGGAGUUGCAACCUGAGAGCAGAGCAUAAAUGUAGAGGGGGAAACCAGAACUCAGUAAAACUCCCUAGCACGUUGGCCACCCAUGGGCUUCCUGGUGCUGGGAGGACACAUAUUGGCCAGAUCUUCAGCUUGUGUAAAUCAGCAUAGCACUAUUGACUUCAGUGAGACUCCAACCAGGGGUGUGGCCCAGAGUAAUGCAACCCGGUGGGAUUAUGAGGCAGAUGCUGCCAAGUCUGGUUGAGGAUGCUCAGUGCUUUACAUGGGGAGUUUACAGGAUCGGGUCCCUUCUACUUUCUCCCUUCCAUUCCCCAAAUGGGGCUUGCUAAAUCCAGAUUAGUGUGAGGUGUCUGCAAUCUAUAUCGUGCAGAGAGUUAGCUGAUCUCUCACAGACACAGCAGCCCAUUGGCAAAGUAAGAAUUGGCCAGGGCUCCAGCUCAAAGCAACGCACCAGAACCUCCUGGAAAAUGGGAGGUUUCCAGUGAAUUUUCCACAUUGUUGCUUUUCUGCCAGAAGUGCUUUCGGAUCGUGCGUGACGCCCUGUCACAACACCGCUACCAUCCUGCAUGGCUGACCUGCUAAUUGCAGGGAAAAGCUCUGGGGAGCCACGUGAGAAUCCUGCACCCAUGACACCACCCUGGAAAGCUCAGGGUGUUGCAUGCACCUUGAAAACAGGUGGCAGAUGAAAAAGGCCUGGCUUAAAAUCAAACCCAACGCAUGUAAAUUAGCAACACUCUCCCCCAUGGAGCGCUUCUGUUAGCACAGUCCAAUGUCCUUGCUUGCUGUAGCCUUUAAGGGAGAGCAGACUUUGAAUUCAAACAAACCAGAGGGCUUGUCCAUGGGAGGAAGGAACGCCAGGGAACCGGAAGGAUCCGUUGAAGUGUUUGGAAAUGCUGUGGGCUCCCUAUUUGAAUGGUCCGUGGCACUAUUAACACUGCAGCAGAGAAGGAACCAGAAGCAGAGAUGCUCCUGCAGAACUUUGUGUUGGGUCUUUUUUCUACCUCUUUGAACAAGGGAUCCUGCAGGAGCCUCUUUUUCAUGCUUGCCUGAGUUUAGCAACACAGUUAAGGCUAAACUGCCACACCUGUGCACGGGGUGGGGUCAGGAGAAAGCAGCAUGGCAUUGUGGGAUAGCUGAGGUUGCUAGAUAAGGCCACAGUGGCUGUAGUCAGGGAUAGACCAGAGGGAGGGUGGUCUGAGGUGGGGUGGGGCUGCUGGCAUGUUCAGUAGGGCGCUCUAGGGCUGUAGGCUAAGGUGAUUUGAGCUCCAGGAUGGUGUUUUGUUUGUAGUUUCUGGUUAUUGAACAAACAUAGAUCUGUAUCUCGUGCUUCACAAAAAGUAAUGAUUGAUAUUUAUUUGUUUAGUGGCUAAACGCUUCUGGGGUUCAUUUACAUUACAGAUGGAACUGAGCUGUAAAGUCUACCUCUAUCUAGCUUAGAAAGUUCUAGGGUGCCAGAGUAUCUCAGUGCUACGUGGAAUAUUUAAGCGUUGCAGAGCUAGUAGCCAGGAUGCAUCUAAAUCUCCUCAAUGUUCAGGAGGCUCCAAAUCCAUGGUUUUGAUUUAGCCCAUUAGAUAGCAAGGGCCCAACUGCGAAGUUCAGGUCUAGAUCCGAAGUUUGCUUUGGGGGACGAGAACUGGUGUUGGAAUUCAUCUCUGAUUUGCAUCCUUCUAAAGUCUGCCUGUAUAAAAAUGUCCUGCUAGGCAGCAUCCUGUGGGUAAGAAUGCAUCAGGAGAGGUUUUUCUUAGGAGUGCUCAACACUCUUUUGGUGGUACCCAAUGUAUGGAAGAUGUAUCCCUUACCUCACAGGACUCCCAACCGAAAUUAGAGACUGUUCACCCAUAGCACUAAACGCACAUCCCACUAACGUGUGAAUACAAUACGCAGUAUGGAGGAGAUCAGGCCUUCAGUGCUGAUGCAAAGGAUAGUCAUAUCAUGCGUUUUCCCCAUACUAAAUGGUCCUUACAUGAUAAUGACUGAUAAUUACUAGGGCUUAUUAUGUGCUAGGUGCUUCCCAACAUGGUCUCUGCUCUUACUCUAAAGAAUCUUAGAAACUGGAAAUGCAUCUUUGGUAACAAAGGGCUCCUAUGUGUGUCCCUCAUAAAAGUAUUUCCCCUUCCUAGUUUCAAAGCCCAAAGAAAGGAAGAAAUUGCAUAGAGCCAAUAGCCCAAGAGAGGGUUCAUGUGCCAGCCUGAUCUAUCAGCUGUAGAUUUGUACCAUAAGUUUGAAUCCUAAACUUCGCAGCAUGUGGCUUGCCUGUAAGAGACUCUGGUCCUCAGAGGUGGAAUACAGAAUUUGUUAUACUGGAUGACACCAGGGAUCCAUUUAGUCCAACUUCCUCCUUUCCUGGAGUAGCAGAUACUUGAUGCUCUGAAGGAAGGGAUUAACCCCUGAUAAUGCAGCUAGAUGAAACUGUGUAUGCGGAGGGAAAUCUCUUCCUGGCCUCUGAAGGCAACCAGUUUGCAUCCUACUACAAGAGCUAGGAUGAGAGAGAAUUCACUGAUAAAAGUCUAAAGCAUGAAACCUAAAUAAUUAUACCAGAAAAAGUCUUGAAUGAUCCUAACACAGGAAAAUGGAAAUCAGACGACCACCAGGGAGCAUUUCCACCCUGGAGAGCUAACAAACAACAGUUUUAUGCUACGUGAAAGCUAUUGGUCAGUUGAUGCAGAACAGCAUCAGUAAGGUUUGCCGUACGUUUGUCUAGUCCAUAGACUUGUGCUUAAUGUUCUUGUCCAGGUUUCUAUGCUGUAUGUAUUCUGUGUUUCAACAGUAAAGUACAAUGCCAGGAGGAAAUGUUCAUUUCUCAUACAAGUCCUUUGGCAGUACAUAGCAAUGUGUCCCCUCUCCUUUUCCUAGCUUAACUUUCCCCAAGAUGAUUCCUCAGUGUCAGGAGAUAAGGCGCACAUUUUGGAUGCAUCAUCAUACAACCCAGGAUCAGCAGAGCUCUGUGCAUUGCAUGGCAGGACAGGAAGGGUAUCUUCUUGUAUAACAACUUGGCCUCACCGGACAUGCCUCGUCAUGAGUGAGAUAGAGCCUAUGGAAGUCCGUGGGAGUCUUUCCAUUGAAUUCAAUGGGUUUGGGAUUAAGCCAUUUGCAACUAGCUCAUGUCCACUUUGGCCCACCCCUAGCAUUCAGAAAUCAUAAGUCAGGCCCCCAAAACACUGGGUUUUAAACAAUGGCAACUUUGGGGUUCUUUUUAUUUGGGUUCUCUUCUAAAACCAAGGGGAACAAAAUCUGCUUUUGGAGUUUUGGGGUUCACCUUUUCCAGCUUUUCUCUGCAACCAGGAAAGCUAGAAACGUUAAUGAAAGAUGAGAGUAUCCCAUAUUCAUAUGAUUCCAGGAGCUGGAGUUUCUGAAAAAACACCUAAUAUCCUGAGACGGGCAAUAAAUAAUAAAUAAAUCCUGUUGCAUCCUACCUGACCUAGAAGGGCAAAUAGAACUCCCUUCACAGUUCAACACUCUUCCUUAGUCAUCCCAGAUGUACAGGGUAACACAACCCCAUUCAUUCCCUCCACCACUAUGUCCACAGCAAUCCCAGCGCAUGGUGGGUCAGAGGUUCCACAUGAGUUCCUUAUGACUCAUUCCCCUGGCCCAAUGAGAUCCAAGAAAGGUCCAUUUUCCCACUAUUCCUUAUAUAGGGUUGAUGGUUAAGCAUGUAGCUGUGAGGCCUUCUUUGUUGGAACUGGACCGUCAUAAAACUAAAGUUCCAACGUCUUUCCUAGGGAGACUUUUUUUUUAAUAUGCAUUUUCAUCUACAUGAUUUAACUGUGCGUUGGUCCUGUCAGAUGGAAGGACAACAAUGAGGAGUUAUUGCCCAGUCGUCAGACUCUGAUUUGGGUAGAACAAGCUACUUGGAGCCAGGACUCCUGAUUCUCUUCCUUGCUUGGCCGCUGAAUGGAUGAGCGUGAACGAGUCAUUGAACUCUGUGGCUCAGUUUACUCCUCUGUAAAAUCAAUAAAAUAAUACCUACAGA